UGCAAUGUGCCUUCCAACAUGCCUGCACGUCCAAAGGAACGUUGCAUCCCACUUAUUAACAACACAGGUACUGUACUUAACAGGUACUGUACUUAACAGGUACUGUACUUAACAGGUACUGUACUUAACAGGUACUGUACUUAACAGGUACUGUACUUAACAGGUACUGUACUUAACAGGUACUGUACUUAACAGGUACUGUACUUAACAGGUACUGUACUUAACCGGCUGUGCCAAGCAGGAACUUUCAGUUAAAAUGUCC